rnacentral:rRNA from 1 species
UCCGUAGGCGGGCAGCUAAGUCAGUGGUGAAAGUCUGCAGCUCAACUGUAGAAUUGCCAUUGAUACUGGUUGUCUUGAAUUAUUAUGAAGUGGUUAGAAUAUGUAGUGUAGCGGUGAAAUGCAUAGAUAUUACAUAGAAUACCAAUUGCGAAGGCAGAUCACUAAUAAUAUAUUGACGCUGAGGGACGAAAGCGUGGGGAGCGAACAGGAUUAGAUACCCUGGUAGUCC